AUUGAACGCUGGCGGCAUGCCUUACACAUGCAAGUCGAACGGCAGCACGGACUUCGGUCUGGUGGCGAGUGGCGAACGGGUGAGUAAUAUAUCGGAACAUACCCUAGAGUGGGGGAUAACGUAGCGAAAGUUACGCUAAUACCGCAUACGAACUAAGGUUGAAAGUGGGGGAUCGCAAGACCUCAUGCUCAUGGAGUGGCCGAUAUCUGAUUAGCUAGUUGGUGAGGUAAAGGCUCACCAAGGCGACGAUCAGUAGCUGGUUUGAGAGAACGACCAGCCACACUGGAACUGAGACACGGUCCAGACUCCUACGGGAGGCAGCAGUGGGGAAUUUUGGACAAUGGGCGCAAGCCUGAUCCAGCAAUGCCGCGUGAGUGAAGAAGGCCUUCGGGUUGUAAAGCUCUUUUGUCAGGGAAGAAACGGUUGUUCCUAAUACGGAUGACUAAUGACGGUACCUGAAGAAUAAGCACCGGCUAACUACGUGC
rnacentral:rRNA from 1 species